rnacentral:sRNA from 1 species
UUGAGACAGUUUUAGAAUUUUUAAAUAAAGGUCUUAUGUUUUAAAUCUUUGAUUGUCGUACAAUCGGAAACAGUCUAAGCGGCUAGAGUUCUUGCCUAGCUUUUUUGGACGCUUCUCCCGCGGGUUCGAGUCCCGC